UCAGAUUGAACGCUGGCGGCAGGCCUAACACAUGCAAGUCGAGCGGUAGAGAGAAGCUUGCUUCUCUUGAGAGCGGCGGACGGGUGAGUAAUGCCUAGGAAUCUGCCUGGUAGUGGGGGAUAACGUUCGGAAACGGACGCUAAUACCGCAUACGUCCUACGGGAGAAAGCAGGGGACCUUCGGGCCUUGCGCUAUCAGAUGAGCCUAGGUCGGAUUAGCUAGUUGGUGGGGUAAUGGCUCACCAAGGCGACGAUCCGUAACUGGUCUGAGAGGAUGAUCAGUCACACUGGAACUGAGACACGGUCCAGACUCCUACGGGAGGCAGCAGUGGGGAAUAUUGGACAAUGGGCGAAAGCCUGAUCCAGCCAUGCCGCGUGUGUGAAGAAGGUCUUCGGAUUGUAAAGCACUUUAAGUUGGGAGGAAGGGUUGUAGAUUAAUACUCUGCAAUUUUGACGUUACCGACAGAAUAAGCACCGGCUAACUCUGUGCCAGCAGCCGCGGUAAUACAGAGGGUGCAAGCGUUAAUCGGAAUUACUGGGCGUAAAGCGCGCGUAGGUGGUUAGUUAAGUUGGAUGUGAAAUCCCCGGGCUCAACCUGGGAACUGCAUUCAAAACUGACUGACUAGAGUAUGGUAGAGGGUGGUGGAAUUUCCUGUGUAGCGGUGAAAUGCGUAGAUAUAGGAAGGAACACCAGUGGCGAAGGCGACCACCUGGACUG
rnacentral:rRNA from 1 species